rnacentral:sRNA from 1 species
UCUUUGUUUGUAAUUGAUUGAUUUUAGUUCUGAGUUUAUUUCCUGCCAUCAAAUCCUACCAGACUCUCUAUGGGAUGAGGCUUUGCCUCACCUUGGUAACAGCAGCAUGUGAUACAUGAAGCUUUUGCUGCUCUCUGUAGUGGGGACGACGUCACAAUUUCACUGAAAACCAUGCACAGCCUCGUUUUAGACUGUAUUAAAGUAGCCCACGAUUUCAGUGCUCCCUGCAAGGUGCCAUGAGACAGUAGUAACAUGAGUCUGCCUGCACCUCGACAGUUUUCACUAGGGACUUCUGAGUGAUUUUAUGAAAAUUUAUAGUGAGUUCAUGGAUGAACAUGCACAAACACAAACGCACACACACACUUUACUGGCAUGGUGCACAUUCUUUCCACACAAAGAAGAAAGUGAGUAUUAAUGAAAACACACCAAUAAAGGAAUCGAUGGACGGGGUUGUGGGGAAGCUGGGGCUUAGAGUUAUUUAAAGGCCCUGUGCAGGCUCUCCUUCUGUUGGAGGCUAAACUUCAAGUGCAAUGGGGUUCUUUAUUUUCUUUCUGUAUAGCACACAGAGCUAGGGUGGAAACUAGUUUUUGAGCAUAUUUGGCAAGUACUAGAACACUGAAUUAAUUCCUAGGGCUGGAACCCUAUUAAUGUUCUACAGAAUUACAGGGCAGGCUGGAUGAAGACUCUCAGCUGACAAUGUGGACAUCUCAAGACAGGCACUGGACAAUGGCUGACAGACUUGUAUGAAGACUGGAAAUGUUUUGCUAUCUCAGAGGAAAAGAAGGCCCCUCAGACUACACUGUACUCUAAGGACAGUUUAUUCAGCUGCUGAGCUUUUAAAAGCCCUGGUGUGACAGCAAGCUUUUGUGGACAUCUGGAUUAUUCCUUCUGUACUUUAACUCUCUAAGUCAACCCCACUCUGAGUAAGUCAGUUCCAUUCCAUAAGUUGGAAAUCAGUCAACUGGAAAAAAAAUACUUUCUCAAUACAAACACAGAUUGGCCAUGGAAAAAGGGCAGCUUGAACUGUCCCACCUAGGUCCUGGGCUUGCACAGGCCUGCUCUCCAAAAGAAACGUGUGUUCACAGCUGCAGGCUGCAUUCACUAUGGAUGCUUCUUGAGGUUCCAGCUGGUGGAUAAGCUCUGGGGCGGGACAGACUCGCCCUGCAGCUCUAUUGAUGGGGUGACAAUGGAAGAAGCAACAGACUCAGGAAUUCUAGGUAAAAAGAGAAACUCAGAGAAGGGGUUUGGCAAUGUUCCUUCUCUUUCAAAUCAGAGGAAUAAUUGAAGCACUAUUGUUAUUAGGUCGUCAUUAAACUUCUGGUAGAAAGGCUGCAUUAAAGCCUAGUGGCCCUCAUAUAUAUUUUUUAAUUUUUGUAGUGGCAUCGUCUAAAUACUAUCUAUUUUCUUAUGAGAAUAAUCUUAUGACUCUUUGUAUUAUCCUCUUUGUUUGUAAUUGAAUGAUUUUAGUACUAAGUUUAUUUCCUGCCAUCAAAUCAUACCAGACUCUCUGUAGGAUAAGGCUUUGCCUCAUCUUGGUAACAGCAGCAUGUGAUAAAUGAAGCUUUUGCUGCUCUCUCUAGUGGUGAUGACGUCACAAUCUCUGUGUAAACCAUCCACAGCCUGUUUUUAGGCUGUAUUAUAGUAGACCACCAUUUCAGUGUUACCUGCCAGGUGCCGUGGGACACUAGUAACACACGUCUGCAUGCACCUCGACAGUUUUCAUUACAGUCUUCUAAGUCAUUUUAUAAAAAAUUGAUAGUGAGUUCAUGGAUGAACAUACACAAACACCUGCACAGAAACACAAACAAACACAAACUCUCUCUCUCUCUCUCUCUCUCUCUCUCUCUCUCUCUCUCUCUCUCACACACACACACACACACACUUUACUGACAUGGUACACAUUCUUUGCACACCAAAAAUAAAGUGAGCAGUAAUGAAAAUACACCAAUAAUGGAGUCGAUGAAGGGAGUUAUGCAGAAGCUGGGACUUAGAGUUACUUAAAGGCCCUAUGCAGGCUCUCCUUUUGUUGGAGGAAAAAUUUCAAGUGCAAUGUGGUUCUUUAUUUUCUAUCUCUAAAGCACACAGGCUAUGGUGGAAUGUAGGGCUUUGAGCAUGUUUGGAAAGUACAAUCACACUGAAUUAAAUCCUAGGGCUGGAACCCUAUUAAUCUUCUACAGAAUUACAGAGCAGCCUGGAUGAAGACACUCAGCUGAAAAGGUGGACAUCUCAAGACAGGCACUGGACAAUGGCUGAAGACUUGUCUGAAGACUGGAAAUAUUUUGAAAAUUCAGAGAGAAAAAAAAGGACCCUCUGACUACACCGUACUCUAAGGACAGUUUAUGCAGGUUAGGCAUGGCAUGAACUAUUGUCUCAUGUGACAGAUGUCAGCACAAAGUAUCCAAGGUAUUGUAUGCCAAUGGUAGCAUCAACAGAACAAAGCACACAGUGUCAUGAAGACAUAAAUUAUGAGUUUGUGUAGCAAGACCCAGUCCUCUUCCAGGUUCUUAGAUAGUAACUGAGAACCUCAAAUACGGUAGUGAUGUGAUAGUGUGGGGGUGAAUCUAGUUACAACUAGCUUCUAUUGUGACACAGAUGACUCUUUUUGUGUCAUGUUCAGCUUAUAAUGAAUGACUAGACCUAAACAUGAGAAUAACCAAAUCCUACAUUGCUUCUCUAGCUGCUGAGCUUUUAAAAGCCCUGGUGUGACACCAAGCUUUUGUGGACAUUCUGGAUUAUUCCUUCUGUACUUUAACUCUCUGAGUCACCUCCACUCUCAGUAAGUUAGUUCAAUUCCAUAAAUUGGAAAUCAGUCACCUGGAAAAAAUACAUUCUCAAUAUGAUCCCAGAUUGGCCAUGGAAAAAGGGUAGCUUGAACUGUCCCACCUAGGUUCUGGGCCUGCACAGGCCUGCUCUCCAACAGAAACCUGUGUUCACAGCUGCAGGCUGCAUUCACUAUGGGUGUCCUUGAGGUUCUUCCCUAAACUGCUUAGAUUAAAAUAAUUUUCAUGCUAACAAUCAAAAAACUCAUUAUGCCAAUCUGGCCAACAGGAAGCUAAUUUCUAUUCUGUAUUUUGUCAGAUGUGCAGAAUACAUAUGGUCAUCAUUGAUAGUAGGUGAAAGAUCUGCUCUAAUAUGGACACUAAGUGGUGCUGGAGGAUGAUCCUGACCCACAAUGAGGAGUGGUGACACCAGAGCCCUGUAGGGAUGGCUGGCAAGCUAACACAUUGAGCAUGCACAGCUCUGUAAAUUUCCUGUGAAUACACAUCUACUGAGAUCUCUCUAUUUGAUUGGAGGUGAUCCUGUCCACCUAAUACAGUACAUGAUGUGGAAGGACAAAAGCACCUGCAGGAGCUGUGGUGAUGACUCACAGGAUAGAGCAUCUGCUACUCUCUCAGAAGAACCACAUGGACCCUAACAAUUGGGUGCUUCCCACACAAGAAGUCACAUGACCACAGAGUGUCAUUUGUCAAAGAACCAAGAACUUGUUCAAAACUCUACAGAGCAUCCAAUCUAUCACGUGGAUAUGCAAUAAUGAGGUAUGUUAUUAAUCUGUCACCAUUUCUAUACUGCAGCUUCAAAAAGAGCAGACAAAUAUACUUGCAAAAUAAUUCAGUUUCUGAAAAGUGGUUGGCUUCCCAGAAUACUUGUGCAUAGGCAGAGCAAUGAACAAUUCCAUUACAUGAGGUGGUUGGCUGGUUGUGAGUGUAAAUUGGAAAGGUGGUAGGAGAGAGCAAAGAUGUAUCAAAUUGGCAAACUUUAUCAGAUAUUUUUAAGCUAACACAGCUGCUCAACCCUACCAGAUGAUGCUGGGUCUGGACGUUGCUGGUCUUUAUCUUUCUUGUUGAAGUCAACCAAAUAUUUCUGGUUCAGUGCACAAUCAAGAUGUACCUCCUUGCUCUCCUGCUUCAGUGGGACCAACUUCUUCAUACAUGUGUUCUCCAUCAGGAGCUGGCUGAGCAGGUUUCUGAAAAUACAGUCUGCAUAAGCCUUCUGAAGAUGCCUAGACAAUCCUGGGAUGAGUAACAGUCUUUUAUGGAACUGAAAACUGAGUCCUAAUGACCCUGGCACACUGAUGUGUAAACAGCACAAGAGAUAGA